rnacentral:lncRNA from 1 species
UCGUCGGUGAGUACGCGCAGCGGCCCGAAGAGGCGCGUGCUCGCUCCAAGGGCGAGGGGGGAGGCGCCGGAUCUCGCGGGGCAAGUGCGCCAGCGACCUGAGGUAUACAUCGUUCUCUUCCUGAUCUGGAUCCGGCUACUUCAGUUUCCUAGAGUUUACCGAGUAGAUCCGCUGCUGCGCGCAUAGCAUGAGCUGUCGGUGAUCCGCCGUAGGUUUAAUUAUGUCCUCCUUCUGUUGGACUAGGAUCACAGGUGCAUGCAUCUUAAGCCAAGCUGUUGGAUGAAUCAUCAGUAUAUCUAUUUUCUUCAAGAAGUAAAUCAUGCGUGCCGAGUAUUUUUUUUUUCAUUGUUGCCUCGUGUGUGCAUCUUAGUUCUUCAGUGCAGAUUGUUGGCCAUCCGUGAUAGAUUUAUAGUGCUAAUCUGGUGGUGCAAGCUGCUCGAGCAAACCAAAAGUUUUCUAUGCCUUGUUCUACAUGAGGCUUGCUCUACUCUUGGGUAGGUCUGUAUUAGGCACUGUUUCUUCUAUGAAGAACUGUGCACUAGUGAUAAUAGUGUGAGAUUGUUAUUUACCCGUUACUUUUUUUGUGCUGGUUGGUGUGUGUGUGUGAUCUUAAGUGCAGAAUGCUUGUCAUUCACUCUUACUUUUUGUGGGUCAUUUAGAUUGUCUGAGUUUUUUUUAGGUUCUGCUCAUUUCUUUCCUAGAUAACAUAACUAGCUCAUGAUUCAGUACUGUGUUUCUCUUCAUGAAGAUAUAUUGUACUCUUGCAGAUUUGCUUGCUUGCUGACCAUUGUAAUUUUUUUCUUUUCAAUAGGUAUCUUGGUGUAGAAUGAAGUGAAGAGGGCAGAGUAUCUUGGUCUUAUUAAUCAAUGCAUCAUAUUAUGUGCGCAAUAAGAUUUUGCUAUGCUUUCACCGUCGAUGCCCACUGGUUGGAUCAUGCUUCUGUUUAUGAGCUCAUUGAAGUAACUCUCUCGUAGCUCAAAUGGGCCAAUUUCUCGUUUGCGUGGCACACAAAACCUUCAGCUAUCCAUCUCCAUAUCAGUUGGUCUCUCUUAAAUUUGUAAUCUUCUGGAAAUAUGCUUAAGUAUAAUAAAUGAUGCGAAGGUAGAUCAUAGAACAUGAACACAUGGUGUAAAAGAGGCACUCAUGCACCAAAACUAUAAAAAGCAGCAAAGAAAAUGAGUAAAAGAGGCACUUGACUUGUAGAUUAUACAAGAGUGAUGAUCUGGAAGUCAACCCUCUUUUAUCAGUAGUUUUGAUCUACCUUCUCAUCUAUAGGAUUAGUUAUUAUGUCUAAGCAUGUUUUUAGAAGAUUAGAAGAUUAAGCAAGCUCAUUCGAUAUGUAAGGUGGAUAGUUUGAGGUUUUGUUUAUCAUGAAAAACAAGGGAUUAGCAAGUUUGAGCUCGGUGGUAGAAUUGCUCAAUGAGAUCGUGAAUAGGAGCAUGAUUCAACCAAUUGACAUCAAUGUUGACAAAGGCAUGGAAAAAUCUUAUCGUAUACAUGAUAUGGUGAUUGAUUUCAUGUGCUGAAGAAAAACACUUGUGGCACUGAGUGAAAGCGGUCUAUCCAAAGGCAAGAUUUGAAGAUUAUCCACCCGAAAGAGCACUACAGGUAGCAGUGAUGUGACAAUGUGGUCUCUUGCAAUUGUUGAUUCAGUGUAGAUUAUAUUGAGUGUUCCAAGUUCUACAUGCCCUGGAUAUAGAAUAUUGUGCUGCAUGUCUCCAUUCUUGGCAAUCACAAUGAUUCAAGAAUACUGUGUUUGCUAGGACAUGAAGCUCCCAUUGUAUUUCUAACCACUAAUUCUGAAUUAAUAGUCAUGAAUCUCUUGGUGUAUUUGUACCAACUUUGCUGAAUCUAGAACUGUCAAAGUUCUGUGUCGGCUCCUGCAGUUAGCUCAUGAUGAAUUUGUUUUCCCAUUCCUUUAUUUUGAUGCUUGAUUGUUAGUCUGUGUGAUUCUGAUUAUUAUCCGUUGUGUCUCUUUUCUUUAUAGCAGUAGCAGCUUUUGAAGUCCUUUUACUCUGCUUUUUGUAUGAAAUUUAAGGUCAUUGUUCUGAAAUGAUCUGUAUAUGUUGUUGUGAAUUUUUUUAAUGUCCUGUAUAUGUUACAUUUGUUUAAAUUUGUACUAGCCUGAACUGAUUAAAUGAUUUUUGUAGGUAAAAUGAUAUGGAUGAGUACAGUACUAAUGUCUUCAAAUUUGUACUAGCCUGAACUGAUUAAAUGAUUUUUGUAGGUAAAAUGAUAUGGAUGAGUACAGUACCAAUGUCUUCAGCUGUUAUUUUCUUUCUGACUGCUAUCAGUAGCAGGAUCACAAGUGAGGGCGUGCAAUGCCCGUGCUGAAUCUACUUGUUGAGCCGUUUGAAGAUAUUGGUCCUGCAUGCUUCCAUUUUUGCCAAUCGAGGCGGUAUGAGAGGCUGAGGCUCUAGAGCACUGCAUUUGCCCUGUUUUGAUUUGUCUUUCUUCUGUAGUAGAGACAUGAAGUUCUACUUGAGAUUGUAAGGAACUUGCAGUCAGUCAAGUUUAUAGUACAAUUUGUUCAAACAGUUCAGUUUAUAAUACAAUUUCUUCGAACUUGACUUCUGUACUGAUGCUAAGAUUUCUGGAACCAUAUGUUGUGAAGCAAAAGAAAGCCCACUCCUAGGUCUUGC